UAAUGCUAACUAAAAGGAAAGUUCAGUUUAGGGUUUAAAACCCUAAUGCUGAUUGCAUGGAAAAGCUCAGUUUAGGGUUUAAAACCCUAAUACUGGCUGAAAGGAAAAAGUUCAGUUUAGGGUUUAAAACCCUAAUGCUGACUAAAAGGGAAAUUCAGUUUAGGGUUUAAAACCCUAAUACUGAUUGCAUGGAAAAAGCUCAGUUUAGGGUUUAAAACCCUAAUGCUGGCUGAAAGGAAAAAGUUCAGUUUAGGGUUUAAAACCCUAAUGCUGACUAAAAGGAAAAUUCAGUUUAGGGUUUAAAACCCUAAUGCUGACUAAAAGGAAAAUUCAGUUUAGGGUUUAAAAUCCUAAUGCUGAUUGUAUGGAAAAGCUUAGUUUAGGGGUUUAAAACCCUAAUGCUGGCUGAAAGGAAAAAGUUCAGUUUAGGGUUUAAAACCCUAAUGCUGACUAAAAGGAAAAUUCAGUUUAGGGUUUAAAACCCUAAUGCUGAUAGCAUGGAAAAGCUCAGUUUAGGGUUUAAAACCCUAAUGCUGGCUGAAUGGAAAAGUUCAGUUUAGGGUUUAAAACCCUAAUGCUGACUAAAAGGAAAAGUUCAGUUUAAGGUUUAAAACCCUAAUGCUGACUAAAAGGAAAAGUUCAGUUUAAGGUUUAAAACCUUAAUGCUGACUAAAAGGAAAAUUCAGUUUAGGGUUUAAAACCCUAAUGUUGAUUGCAUGGAAAAGCUCAGUUUAGGGUUUAAAACCCUAGUGCUGGCUGAAUGAAAAAAGUUCAGUUUAGGGUUUAAAACCCUAAUGCUGACUAAAAGGAAAGUUCAGUUUAGGGUUUAAAACCCUAAUGCUGAUUGCAUGGAAAAGCUCAGUUUAGGGUUUAAAACCAUAGUGCUGGCUGAAUGAAAAAAGUUCAGUUUAGGGUUUAAAACCCUAAUGCUGACUAAAAGGAAAAUUCAGUUCAGGGUUUAAAACCCUAA
rnacentral:lncRNA from 1 species